rnacentral:rRNA from 1 species
CAGCAGCCGCGGGAAUACAGAGGGUGCGAGCGUUAAUCGGAUUUACUGGGCGUAAAGCGUGUGUAGGUUGUUGUUCAAGUCAGUUGUGAAAUCCCUGGGCUCAACCUGGGAACUGCUUCUGAGACUGAACGACUAGAGUACGGUAGAGGGUGGUGGAAUUUCCGGUGUAGCGGUGAAAUGCGUAGAUAUCGGAAGGAACAUCAAUGGCGAAGGCAGCCACCUGGGCCUGUACUGACACUGAGACACGAAAGCGUGGGGAUCAAACAGGAUUAGAUACCCCCGUAGUCCCUGUCUCUUAUAC